rnacentral:rRNA from 1 species
CAAUAGCGUAUAUUAAAGUUGUUGCAGUUAAAAGCUCGUAGUUGGAUUUCUGGUGGGAGCGAUCGGUCUGGCGCUUAGCGCGAGUACUUGCAUCGUCUCCGGCCAUCCUUGGGGAGAGUCUGUCUGGCAUUAGGUUGUCGGGCAGAGGAUCCUCAUCGUUUACUGUGAAAAAAUUAGAGUGUUCAAAGCAGGCUUAUGCCGUUGAAUAUAUUAGCAUGGAAUAAUAAGAUAGGACUUUGGUACUAUUUUGUUGGUUUGCGCACCAAAGUAAUGAUUAAUAGGGACAGUUGGGGGUAUUCGUAUUCCGUUGUCAGAGGUGAAAUUCUUGGAUUUACGGAAGACGAACUACUGCGAAAGCAUUUACCAAGGAUGUUUNCAUUAA